rnacentral:lncRNA from 1 species
UCUUGUCAUCUGAAUAUCAUUUCAAAUUUUUUCUUUUGACGGUUCAGUUUUUUGGGAAAGUUUGUUCUUUCAAAAAACCGAUUCUUCUGCUUUUCUUUACUUUCCUCUCAUUUCUCUUCUUCCCCUUCCAUUCUCAAUCCGGUUCUCGUCUCCAGUCAAUCCUUCGUUGAUUUUCAGCAUACCCUGGGACCCUUAUUUCCAGGUACAUCUCUUCCUUUCUUUUUAGAGUUUUUAUUGCCAAUGUAUGCGCAAGGGCGUUUGCAGAUCUUAGUAUAUGUUUGAAUAUGAAACUUCUAGAUAUAUUUAAUUUCUGUUGAAUAUCGUAUAUAUAUGCUCCAAUAUGUGAACGAUCUUGACUUUUUGUUACACAUUUCUUGAUUAUUCUGAGAGAGCCUCCUUUUAUUAUAACCUUCGGCCAUUCCUAUUCCACUCCUACUUGGACCGCUUUCCUACAUGUGAUUGCUUCAGCUGCAAAUGCGAAAGUUACCCCAUGAUGGAUCUCUAAGCAGAAAGUAAGACAACCCAUUCUUCGUUUCUGACAACAAUCCCUGAGGCAGAUUGGUGGUGAUUCGCAUCAUACGCACCAUCAAAAUUAAUUUUUACGAAUUCAUUAGGUGGAUAACUCCAUCUUCUUAUCUCCUUCCCCUUUACUGGAUUUCUCAUUUCUAAACCAUUUAAUUCAGCCAUAUAGUUGUUGAUGAAAUCUGCUAUUUCCUGCCCUGUACUAUUUUUCUGCUCAUGUAUUCUUCGUUUCUGACAACAGAAGAGGCGGCUCUGGUAUGAAGUAAGCUGAUCAAAGAUCCAGGUAAUCCAUUGUAAAAAAAAUCCAUGUUAGGAUCUAGAAUAAAAUUUUGAAUUUUUAAUAGUGUCCAAACUUCUAUUGUGACAGGACAUUCGCGAAAAAUAUGGUCGAUUGUUUCAGCCAUUUCUCCACAUCGGGGGCAGCUUGUACUACUAACAAGUUUUCGGUGCUGCAUAUUAACCCUGUCGGCAAAUAGUUCCAUGAAAUUCUCCAUACUGUAACUUUGAUUUUAUUUGGAAGAUUUAGGAGUCAAAGUUUUUUGUAAAAAUUCCUGUAAUCAAUUUGUAAAGCGUAAGCUCUAGGAAUUUCAUCAAAAGUUUGUAAUAGUUUAUAGGCACUGCAGACCGAAAACUCGCCUGAAUACGCGCCUCUUCAGACAAGUAGAUCAUUGUGAGGUGUGUAUGCUAAAGGUAUCCGGAGGAUUUUUCCAGCAUCUUCCUUUGAAAAGGUAUUCUUUAUAAGUUCUCUUUUCCAUGUUCUCUCAUUACUGUUGAUCAACUCACUAGCCUUGACAUCACACAUACAAUUAACAACUGAAGAUAAUUUAACAUUAACAGCAUCUGGAAUCCAAGCAUUAGCAUUGAUAGAAAUAUUUGUACCUGUACCAACCCUCCAACAUAUUCUUUUUUUCCAAAAUACCCUUCACUGCCCAUAUGCUUUUCCAUAUAUAAGAACUGGUUUUCCCCAAUCGAGAAUUUAAAAAAUAUUCAUUUGUGAAAUAUUUUGUUUUAAAAACUCACAUAACCAAAGAAUCUUGAUUAGUAAUAAUCCUCCACCCUUGCUUAGCUAGUAAUGAAAUAUUGAAUUGAGCUAGAUUUCUAAAGUCCAUUCUCCCUCCUCUUUUGAUCGACAUAUAAAUUUCCAUUAACACUAGUGUAUCCCUUUCCUUCCCUAUCCUUUUUGCCACCAGAAUUUAGCGAAAAUAUUUUCUAACUCCUCACAUAAUAAUUUUGGUAGGAGGAAACAUAUCAUAGCAUAAGUUGGAAUUGCUUGAAGAACAGAUUUUAUAAAGACCUCAUUUUCCCCUUGUGAUAGUAACCUUGUACUCCAGCUUUCAAUUCUUGACUUAACUUUAUCUUUGAGAUUCUAAAAAGCUUUCUUCUUUUGUUUGCCUACAACAUUAGGGAGUCCUAGAUAUUUUUCCAAAUUUGUGGAGCAUCUCAUACCUAGUAAACUCGAGAUUUCUUCUGUCUCUUUCUGCUGUAUUUGAGCUAUAGAAAAUUGUCGAUUUGCUAAAAUUCACGCAUCGACCUGAUUGUUCAUAUUCUUUCAAAAUGUCUUUUAAAAUUCUUGCCCUUCUAUUUGUCGCUUCACCAAAUAGUAUACAGUCAUCUGUAAACAGCAAGUGCGAUAUUUCUGGUCAUUUUCUACUAACCCUCACUCACUUCAUCAAUCCCUCAGCUAUUGCUAAUCUUAUCAAAGAUGAGAUUCCCUUAUUGCAUAUUAAAAAAAAAGGGCUAAGCGGGUCACCCUGACGAAGCCCUCUAGUCGGCUUAAAAACAUUUCCUCUUCUCCCAUUGAUAUUCAUUGUAUAAGAGACUGUAGAGAUACAUUUCAUGAUUAAUGUCGCCCAUUCCAUUGUAAAUCCCAUUUGAAGCAUAACUUCCUUUAGAAAAGCCCACUUAACUUAUCAUAAGCCUUGUUCAUAUCUAGUUUUACUGCCAUAAGCCCUUUUUUCCCAGUUAGUUUUGACGUAGCAUAUGUAAUAGUUUAUAUGCUAUAAGCACAUUGUUAGUAAUUAAUCUUUCGGGAACGAAAGCACUUUGAGCUUUGUCAAUACAUUUUCCAAUGACUUCCUAAAGAUGAUUUGUAAAUGUUUUUGCCAUAAUUUUGUAUAAAAUUGUGCAUAAGCUGAUAGGUCUAAAAUUAACAAGACUUGUGGGAUUUGGUACUUUUGGGAUAAGUACAAUAUCUGUAAGGUUUAGAGAGUCAAAAUCCCUUCCAUCAUUCAGAAGUCCCAAGCAAAAAACUUUCAAGAGCUUUACCUACAAUGUGCCAAAAUCUUUGAAAAAAUAAAGCAGGAAAUCCAUCAUAACCUGGUGCUUUAGUGGGCCCUAUUCCUUUCAAAGCUGAAAAUACCUUUUCUGUCGUAAAUGGUAUUAGUAAAUCUGUAUAGAUAUCAGAUGAAAUAUUAGUAUUAAUGCCCUUUAGAAGGUGGGAUAAAUUCCCAAUUCCCUUUGACGAAAAUAAAUUCUAAAAGUAAUUUGAAGCGGCCUCAUUAAUCGCUGAUUCAUCAUAAAUUUCCUUCCCUUCAUCAGAUUCCAGCCUAGUAAUAGUGUUAAUUUGUCUACGAGCUAAGGCAUAUUUGUGAAAAAAGGCAAAAUUUUUAUCUUCUAAUUGAAGCCAAUUGGCUCGUGCCCUCUGUUCCCAAGACAUUUCGUCUUUAGCAAUCUCCAUAUUAAGUUGAAUUCUAGUAUCAAUCAGCUUUGCCAUUGUGUCAUCAUCCCUAUCGCUUGCCAGUAGAUCUUCAAGUUCCUUUGUGAACUUAGUCUUUAACCUAUCUCAACCCUGCUUUAUUGAGCUUGCCCACCUUAUAUCUGCAGCCUUCUAAACUUUUCAAUAAUAGAUCCAUUUGAUGACUCCCAUGAUUUUAUAAUCUCUCGUUCAAUAGAUGCCUUCAUGGUCCACCAUGCCUUUAAUUUGAAUCUUGGAAUCCCCUUAUAGUUCUUCUCAUUAUUAGUACUGAUAAGUAGGGGAUAAUGAUCUGAAAUCGAGUGUGUUAAAUGAUGAAUAAUUCCUUUUGGGAAAAGAUGCAUCCACUUUUCAUUCGCCACUCCCCUAUCCAGUUGCUCUUUAAUAUUUAUUUUCGGUAGAUUCCUCCCUUCCGUGUAAACCAAACCCCUGAAUACCCCAUGUCCAUUAAUUGACAUUCUUCUAAAACCUCACUUAAAGUUUUCAUUCUUUUCUCCUCCUUCGAUUAACGUCCACUUUUUUUUUAAAAGAAUACAUUAUUUCAUUAAAAUCACCUCAUACCAACCAUUGGUGGUUUUGAUCCUGACCCAACUUCCUUAACAAAUUCCACGAGACACUCUUAUUAUUAACAUAAAGUGAAUCGUAAAACCCUGUAAAGCUCCACUCUUCAUUGAAAUUGUCCUCUUUUAUCAUCACAUCAAUAUGGCUUUUUGAGAAAUUGUUUGGACAAACCGUAAUACCUGCUUUCUAUGCCAUACAAAUUUCAUCUCUAAAACCUUCAACUCCUACAUCAAUCCCAUUUUCAAAACCAUAUCUCCUCCUAAUUUUUUUCAUGCGCUUUUCGUCUAUUUUGGUCUCCAUAAGGAAGACUAUUUAGGGUUUAUGUUGCUUCAGCAAAUACUGAAGCCUUCUCACUGACCGUGAACUCCCCAAUCCACGAACGUUCUAGCAAAUGGUUUUCAUUGUGCCCGGUCGACUUGCCAUUUGGCAGUUGACGAUUUAUUUUGGUUGGUAAUACACCCUUGCUUGAGAAUUUUUACCAACAAAAUUAUGCCUCCUUCGAUAUGAAAGUCUUGGCCGUCGUACUUCAUUCUUUUUGCUUCCUCUUUACAGGAUUUUCCUUUGCCAUUGUCUUUAAUUUCUAUAUCCUCUGAUUUUCUUUUUCUCAAUAUACUCUCUCCGUUACAAAUAUCCACCUCUCUUACUACCUCAAUUCUCUUCCAACUCGAUUUCUUGGCUGGUUUCAAAAUUCCUGCGUAAUUAUUAUUUUCCCCAUUUGCUUUUUCUUCCACAACUAUCUCUUCCUCCUGUAUCAUCAUCCCUUUCUCUGUUUCUGUAAAUUGUAAACUAUCUUGGAUUUUUUGGGCCAUGUCACUUUUAUCCUUCUCUUGAAAAUUUAACUCAAGAAUCUUCUCUAUAUCACCUGUAUAUGAACAUUGAGGCUGCACCUUCUUUGAAAAGACAUUAAAAUUUAAACUCUCCCUUUCAAUAAAAUUUACUUCUGCUUUUAAUGCUAAAGAAUAAAGAAGAUCAUCUCUGAUUUUAUUUUUUUUACAGGUGUAAAAUUGAGGCAUUCGAUGAGCCCAUGCUCCACAUUCCAUAGUCAAACCAGAAUGUUGGUAAUUUUUCAUAUUUAAAAGGGAUUCAGGACUUACUUUGAUUUUCAGUUGAGACGAAAAUACCCCUGCGCAAGGGUUUUUGCACAUCUAACUGAACUCUAAGCUGACAGAAUUCACCAUUAAUUGUAGAUCUCAGAACGCCUCCAAAAGUAACCCCAAUAGCAUGCAUUAAAUCUUUUUUUAUCAAAUUCUGGUAAACAUGGUCCAAUUUUAAUCCAAAACGGGGAUGAAUUAAGCCUAAUAUGACUUAUUUCCAUCGGUUUAUUCAACUGAUCAAAGAGCAUUAAAUUUUUCUGAAACAACCAUGAUUGCCCCUCCAUAACUAUCUCCAAAUCUUCUUCACUUUCAAACACUAUCAAGAAUAGAUUCUGACCUGCCAGUUGGAUUUCAAAUUUUUUCCUCACUUUCCAUAUACUUUUCAUCUGUGCCCUAAAACUAUCCGGAUUAUAGGAUUUCUUUGUCCAUAUAGUAUAGAGCAGGGUUGGCUUUUCACUUGGUACCACCAUCGAGCUUUUAACCAAUAACUGAAUGAGUUCCUCUACCAGAAGGGUGAUCUCCUCUCCUAAAAAACCGUCGCCACCACCACUUUCCUUCAUCCCAAGCCUCAGAAAAAACUGUUUUCGCUAGGAUGCUAAGCAAAGCACUCUUGGCUAAAAAUCUUUUAUACUUAAUAUUACUAGAUUUAUAUUUUCUUUUAAAUUUUAAAAUUAGUCUUAACUCAAUUGGUAUGGGCAUUAUUGUCAAUGCAGGAGAACGUGAAUUUGAGUGCGCUGAAAUGCAUUAUCUUCUUAUUUAUGGGUUGGGAAGAGGCUAUGGGUAGUUCUAGGUAUCGUGUCAAAAAAAAAUGAAUACGAUCCGAAUUUAUAAUAAAAUUAUUAAAAAAAUUAAAAUUAGCAGCCUUAUUGCAUUUAAAUAUGUAAUUUUUAUUAAUUAUUUAAAAUUUAAAAUUAAUUAAACAUAUUUAUUUAAAUUUAAAUCAACAAAACAUAUAAAAUAAAGUUCAUUACUUUAAAACAUAAUAGAUUUUCUUACAACUAAGUGAUUAAUUUUUUGAACUUUUAUAUUGAUUUUUGUCUUAAAUAAAAUGAGUUUGUUAAAAAUAGUUAUGGGACAUUUACUAUAUUUUUAUCCCUAACUUAUGACAAAUGAUAGAAUAAUUAUAUAUCAACUUGAGUUUGAAAUUAUAGCUUACAAAUAUUAUAUCAUUAAAUUAUUUCUACAAUUACAAACCAAAUAAAAUUAUUUGUUCAAUUUUUAUAAUUAAAGAUUAGUACAAAAUAUAAUGACAGAUAUUUAUAGUGGUUUUGCAAUUAAAGUAGUGAAAAUUUUGAUCACUUAGUAGUCACUAACAAUUAGAUGACUUGACAAUAUAACAUCUUAUUAUAUGUUACAUGACAUUGUCAAUAUAACAAUUAAAGUUAUGGCAUAUGUUACAUUAUGAUUUUUAAAAUUGAUUUUUCUAAAAAAUAAAUUAUUUUAUUUAUCAGAAAAGUUUGCAAUUUGUUUUCAGACAUUUAUGAAUUAUUAAUAUUUUGUGUUCACAAACUUAUAUAUUUCAGUUAAAAUAUCUUAAUUAAUUAAUGUAGUCUGGAAUAAGUAUUUAAACAAUGAAUAUCAUAUGCUUCAAGUAAUUAGUUUUCAUAAUUUUGGAAAUUUAAUGUAUUCAUCAAAUUUUUUCAUUUAUUGUAGUGAAUUUUAAAAAAGUUGACAAAUGUAAUUUUAAUCAUCAAAGUUUAAUAAUUAAAAUAAAACUUUUUAACAUGUCUACAAGGAAGAUAAUAAAGAUGCAGAUGUCUUGGUUAAACAGACUUUUGGUUGAGAGAUAAGUUUCUACAAUUUCUUGCGACCACCUAAUCAGAUCUUGAAUCUUAUUCAUGAUGAUUUAGAGAGACUGAAUAGACUAAUAUGAUUUUGAUGUAAUCAUUUCUUUUAUUUUUAUUUACCAAAAAAAUAAAAUUUUUUAAAAAAUUAAGUCAUCAAAACUAUAAUUUAUCUUAUUUUAAUUUGAAAUUUGUAAUAACAAAUGGGAAGCUAUGGUUAUACCUUGUAUCAUGUAAGACGUAUUGAAAAGUCACUCAGUUCGCUAUUUGUUCCAAUUAGUUGUCCUAACUAUUGUUUCAACAUUGAUUGAAACUUGACAGUUUAACAAAUAUAUUAUAAGAAAAUAAAAGCAAAAACAAAAAAAAAAAAGGCACGCAAGGUUUGUUGAAAUAGUUUGUAUAAUAAUCUCAUUCGGUGGAAUCUUGGGUGAAUGAUUUUAAAAUUCAAUUGGCUAAAAUUUAUCUACCCUUAUAAUAUGGGAUAAUUGUAACCGAACAAAAAAUCUUAACUUUCCAAAAAAUACCUAGAUACGAAAGAGCAAAUAGGUUUGAAAGCUACGAAAAAAGCCUCACGCAAGCACUCGAAAACGAAUGCCCCGAAGAGCGUCAAAGUAGCCUAUUUUUAAGCUAGAGUCAAUCAACAUUUAAACAUGAUAGAACAUAAUUUAAAAUCAAGCCUUUAUCCACAAUUUGAAUUUUGAAAGCUAGCCUCCAACCCUAAAAAAAAGAAAUGAAGUCAAAUGCUUUUGUUGCCAGUCAAAAUUUUCUUACCUUCGUACUCAAAAAUAAAAUUUUCACUAAAAAUCAAAUUGAUUUAAAUUUGAGUCAAAGAUAAUUUGUUGAUAGAAAAUUAAUCAAAAUUAAACAUGUCACAAAUGUUAACAAAGUUUACUGCAUUUUAACUAUCUCAACUUGUUGUCCCAAGUGAUGGUCGAACAUGUCAAGCAAUAAUUAAAACAAAAAUAGUUAAAGUCCCAACAAUCUCAUCAUUAGCAUUAUGAAAAAAACUCCUCAUUUCAAUGUGCAACAAAUUAUAAACAAAGAUUGAGACAGAUAAAAAUAUUAUAUAUGUAUAUCUAUAUAUACUCUGAAAUUAAAGCUUUCAUAUAUAUGAAAAAGAUCUUCAAAAAUUACAAAUACAAGUAAAAAUUGAGAAAAAGGUGCAUCAUAAGCGCAACAAAAAUGCAAAGUUUGACCCUUUUUUGCAGCCACAGCAGAUGGAUCUGGCGCAGCUUUUGUCCCAACAUCAGUAGUAAUAGAGGCAGAGUGAACAAGAUCAUUCACCCUGUGAGUUGUAAACAACUUGCUAGAGAUCUUGAAAGAUUUGGGGGCAGCAAAGAACUUCUUUUUAGAAAACCGCACAUUAUAUUGGUCGGUCAAAAUAUGAUAAACGAAAGAGAAAUGGUAAAACUUCUCUAAGUUUCUCUAGAUUUAGCAUUGUCUACAAUUAUUUUGUUUAAAGAUCAUUUUGCCAAUAUGGAAAGGAAUCUUUUUUACCAACCUUGUAAACAAGCUUACCAAACUCCUUGUUAAUAGAUAAUUUGUGCUCAAAUGGAAGCCAAUUGCGAAGAGCAAUCUUUUGAAGGGCACAACACUUCACUAGCAAAUGUGCAAGAGAAAUAGUUCUACUUCCAGGCCAACAAAAUUUCCAUACACCAUCGAUCAACAUUGUACAAGCCCAUUUUGGCCCGGGCUGAAUUACCCAACCCAAAAUUAAUUCUUUUAUAAAAACAAUGAUCCGUAUUUGGAAUUUUGAGAAAAUCGUGCCCUAACUUAUUGGGUUUCGAUUUUUCUCAUUUAACCUAAAUAACGACAUAUUCUUUUUAAAUCGCAACACGAGUUUUGAAUAAAAUACUUAUUCUCGGAGAUAAGGGGUGCUGUGUCCUAACUUACUGGAUAUGACAUAUUGUUACUUCGAGAUGAGAUCUUUGCAAACAAAGGCAAUAUUCGGUAUUUGGAAGUUCGAGAUAUCGUGCCCUAACUAACCGAGUCUCGAUUUUUCUCAUUUACUCUAAAUAAUCGAAUACCGUUUAAAAAAAAGAGAGUUAAAAUACACAAAUUUUAAGUAAAAGGCAAGCUCAUUCUCAAAAAGUUUGAGAUGUUGUGUCCUAACUUACUGGAUGUGACAUUUUAUCACUUCGAGACGAAAAUGUCUUUAACAUUCGAGUUUUUUUACAAAAAGGAGGAUCGUAUUUCAAAGUCUUUUAAGUUUUCAAUAUUCGACGCUAAGACACUAAUUAAUCAACUAGGUACCAAUUUUUGGGCGUAUCGAGGGUGCUAAUCAUUCCUCGUGCGUAACUGACUCCUAAACUCAUUUUCUGAUUUUUGUAGACCAAAAAUUAUCAUUUUAGUAAAUCUUAAAUUUUAUUAAAAUGAUUAAUUUGGGGUAACCCGAUCCCACCUCCUCAAAAAGGAUGGCGACUCCACUGUUCGUUUCCCGUUUUCAAAAUCUAAGUCGAUUCCCGUUUGUAAAAAAAAUGGUUUCGACAGCUUGGCGACUCCACUAGGGACUCCAAAUAGGAGAGUCAAGCCACAAGUUGAUUAACUUUUGUCUUUUUGUCAAAAAUUGAAAAUUUGGUUUCGAUAUACGAUCCUUUCAUCGCCUUUUAUCUGUUUUGUGUUGCGAUCUUCAUGGUUUAUAAUUGUUGCAUUGGUUUAAAUUUUGGUAUCUUUUUGCACAUUGCAUUGCAUGAUCGGUUGAUCUUACCCUUUUAAGUAGGAGUGAAAAACUAUUCCUUCAUGAGGUUUUCACCUCCGUGCAGGAUAGUGGAUCGCUUUCGGGAUACAUCUGUACCUAUGUUUUCGUGAGAUUUUCAUCCCCGUAUAGCCAUAGGGAAAUGUAUUCCCCUGAAUUGAACUUGGUCUGUAUGAACCUAUAAUGGGUGAAGAUUGAGGAAUCUGCUGGUUCAGGUACAUUUACUCUAGAACCGAACCCCAUAUAGCGAGCCUUAAGAGCCCACCCUAGGUAGAGCUACUUUGAAACCCAAGUGGUUACCUGAGCAAGUGCUAUGUUUGUUAUUCCUUGUUUGCUUUAAACUGCGUAUGAAAUACUGACUUGAUUUGUUUUACUUUGAUUGUAUUUGCAUGGCAUUUUCAUCACAAAAGGUGUUAAUUUACAUUCGGUUGCUAAGUAGAUAACUUAUCAUGGAAAAAGGGUUUUUUGAUAAAGUAGAGGACAAUGCGGCUGCCCGGAUAUGGGCUGAGACAACACAGCAAGAGAAAGGUGAUAGUCUUAUCGAGGGGUACGUGUCAGAGUUGUGGGAUUUUACUCAGAUCAGCGUAACUCAGAAUAAUCUCCAAUAGGUGAAAAAAAUUUGGGGUUAGUGGGAUGACGAGAUCAAACAACUAUUCUAUUGUCAUUAUGGCGAUUUACCUUAUCUGCUCAAUGUCAAGGUAGACGAACACCUGUUUCGAGCCCUCGCCCAAUAUUUGAAUUUUGCUUACAGUUGCUUCACUUUCAGGAAGGUAGAUUUGGUACCUACUAUAGAAGAGUACACGGCCUUGCUCCAUUGCCCAAAAAUUCAGGUUGACAGAAUUUAUUCCAAAGCUGCCAACGUCCCAGCAUUCUCAAAAAGGCUGAUGAGCAUCACAGGGAUGAGCGAACAGUGGGUUACAACCCGGAUCAAACAAAAAGGAGAUUGUAAGUGCAUUCCUUGAAGGAACCUGAGGGAUCUAAUCUUAGCGCAUCCCGAUGUGAAGAAGAGGGUAGAUGUGUUCGCUUUGAGCAUUUAUGGACUGGUUAUCUUCCCCAAAACUUUGGGGCAUAUAGACGAGGCAGUUUUCGAACUCUUUAACAGGCUUAGUAAAGGAGCCACACCUGUACCUGCGAUCUUGGCUGAAACUUUCAGAUCAUUAAAUGCUUGUCGAAGAACGAGUGAAGGGAGAUUUAUUAGGUAUGUACAGCUUUUGCUACCUUGGUUCCACAGCUAUUUUUAGAAAGUGGAAAAGGUCUCGUAUCGCAUCUUCUCUGAAAACUACUCUCCACUGAAAGAAUUAGUGGCUACGCCGAGACGAGAUGAUAUUACAAAAGAAAAUUCGAUGACGGUUCUUCAAAAUUUACAAGAGGAAGACGUUGAAUGGAGAGCCCCUUGGAUGGUUCCUGAUGAAAUAUUAUAUCGAUGUGGAGAUUUCGAUUGGGUUCUCUUGUUAGGAAUAUAGGGAGCCGUCGGGUAUGCUCCUCUGCUUGCAUUAAGAUAGUACAGAUCCAGACAAUUUACACCACCAACAUACGAGUUAGCUCAGUAUCAGUUUGUAUUCACGGGAAUAAUUACAAAAAGAAAGUUCUUGAGAUAUUAAAUGCUUGAAACCAGGCUCGUAGAAUGAAAAAGUUGGCCACCAAUCCCAUGACUACCUCUGAGUAUGACCGGUGGUGGGAUCAGAGCAUUAACGACAGCAUCCCUACGUCAAAUCAAAGAAACCCUCGAUCAAUGGAAAAAAACUUGAAAGUAAUCCCAUCUGAGCUAGAAAUCAUCAGGCAAGAUUUCGAGAGAAAGAGUUUGGAACUAGAAAAAAAGGAUAAAGCAAUUGGAGGAAGAAAAAAUGCAGCUGGGGUUAGAUGUCGAUGUCCAGAAACUAGAAGCUGAAAGACUCAGAAAAGGAAAAAAACAAGGCUGAAGAGGAUUUAGACAGUUUAAAAACAGACUACAAGAAGUUGUGUAGGUCAAUGAGAACCGCUGAGUUAGGAAAAACAUCUGAACAGUGGCGACAAGAAGUUAAAGAAGAGAAAAGCAAAGCCAACCAAUGGGAAGAAAAAUUCUGGAAUGCUCAAGCUCAAGAAGGUGCUUUGAAAAGAAGUUUGGUAGAAAGCCAAAAGGAGAAUGAGGGAUUAAAGAUUCGAGUGUCAGAGUUAGAGAAGUCAUUGUAUCAGUAUCGUACGCGUAACUCUGUAAUCGAGUUGAAAGCUAGUCAGAGCAGGAUCGAAGAAUUAAAAGAGAAGAUAGAAGAAUUUAAAACAGCCCUACAAAAUCGUGAACUUCAGAUUGAACUCAUUGAGGUAAAUAACGAGCAAUUGAAGGAGCAACUUCAUCAAUCUCAAGACCAGGUAAGGAACAGGGAUUACAUCAUAGGCGAAGCUUUGGCUCAAGUGCGAGAAGUGGCUGAUCACUUACAAACUUUAGCAGUACAGUCCGAUAUGCUGAAUUUAAAAUAUGAGUCAGAAUCGGACCGAGGCCGAGAGCUAGCUUAGCUUCUUAGGUAGGUCAAGGCCUUAAGUAUCAGGGCCAAGCCUUAUAUGUAAUCUGUUUUAUGUAAAGAAACUUGUUUUUUAGAAAAGUUACUCUAAUGAAAUCGAAUUAGAAUCAACGCUUUUUUUUCGCAUUCAUUGCAUUCAUGCAUCAGCAUUGCAUCAUACGCACUAAAACUCACAAAAAAAACCUUAAAAAUUAUGGCAGUUACCCUGGAACAUCGUUAUGGUACAAGAAGAAAAACAAAAGAAAUGGACCAAAGAUUAGAGAGAUUGGAACAAAUGCAAAAAGAGAUGCAGGAUCAACUACAAAUACGUAUGCAAGAACAGCUGGCCAAAAUCCAGCAAAAUGUGAAGGACCAAAUGCUGGAGUCCCAAAAAAGUAUAAUGGAUCAAUUAACGCAUCUAUUGGCUAACGGAUUAGAAAAAGGGAAAAGCCCCAUGAUAAAUGCGGGAGAUGAUAAUGAAGAUCCUAUCUACCCCCUGGGUUUUGCCCCAAAGAACGUUCAGACACAACCUGAUAUGUACCCAAGAAGGCCAUCGGUCACAAUUAGGCCCCAACCAUUUUAAGCCAGUGUUUCGGUGUCGGUGAACUAUCAGGCUGGCUCGGGCUCCAAUCUAAGGGAUAACCCGACUAACCCUGUUGUCUCCGAUCUCGAUGAAGUGACAGAAACAAAAAAGACAAGGGUAGAACUCUCGAAAGAACUCGAAGAAAAGUGUAGAUGGUUAAAAGAAAAAUUUAAAGAAAUGGAAAGCACCGACUAUCGUGGUGGAAUCGAUGCUAAGGAAUUAAGUUUGGUUCCGGACUUGGUACUCCCUCCCAAGUUCAAAACUCCGGAAUUUGAGAAGUACAAUGGGACUAGCUGUCCCGAAACUCACAUCACUAUGUUCUGCAGACGAAUGGCAGGCUAUGUCAAUAAUGACUAACUAUUGAUUCACUGCUUCCAAGAAAGUCUGGUUGGGGCCGCUUUUAGGUGGUACAACCAACUGAGUCGCACGCAGAUCAGUUCAUGGAAAGAUCUAGCACAAGCUUUCAUGAAGCAGUAAGGUCAUGUGGCGGACAUAGCCCCUAAUAGAAUCACUUUACAGAAUAUGGAGAAAAAGCAUAAUUAAAGCUUUAGGCAAUAUGCCCAAUGAUGGAGAGAGGUGGCCACACAAGUCCAACCCCCUCUGUUGGAAAAAGAAACCACUAUGCUCUUCAUUAAUACCCUGAAGGCACCUUUCAUUAACCACAUACUGGGUAGCGCAACCAAGAGUUUUUCAGACAUAGUAAUGUCUGGAGAAAUGAUAGAACAUGCGAUAAGGUGUGGGAAAAUAAAGGUUGGAGAAAAUGCCAAAAGGUCAGCACCGAGAAAGAAAGAGCACGAGGUAAAUAAUGUGAGCACAUAUUCGAAAUCGAUCACCGUAAGCCAACCAAGGUCGACAACCACUGGUCAGCAGGGCUCACCCAGACAAGAGCCCAAAACAAAGUAAAAUAGGGAGAAACUCCAAUUUACACCCAUUCCAAUGACGUACAAGGAGUUAUACCAACGUUUAUUUGAUACACACGUCAUGUCUCCCUUCUAUCUAAAGCUAAUGCAACCCCCAUACCCUAAAUGGUAUGACGCAAAUGCCCAAUGCGAAUACCAUGCGGGAGCCACAAGACACUCGAUAGAAAACUGCACCACUUUCAAGAAAUUGGUUGAAAGACUCAUCAACAUGGACAUCGUGAAAUUUGAUGAUACAUCUAAUGCAGAGAAUCUAUUACCUAACCAUGGGGAUAAAGGGAUAAAUGGGAUAAUCGAGUGUUCAGGGAAAAAAAAUAAGAUGAAUAUUGCAGAAGUGAAUACCCUGCUGAAAGAAGUAUAGAAGAAAAUGGCGGAAAGAAGGUUGAUAACAUAGAUUUCAAGGGUCAGACCCCGAGAAGCAAAGAAUUAUUGCGAGUUCCAUAAUCAAGAGGAUCAUGAGAUUUAGAAAUGCAGCGAAUUCAGAGCUUUAGUACAAGGAUUGAUGGAUAAUAAGGAGCUAGAAUUCUUUGAAUAUGUCGGGAGCCCAGAAGAAACAGAUAUGUGUGCCUCAGAAGAGGGGUCGACGAAGGAUGUUUACAAAGUCAACCACCCAAUGGUUAUUAUAUCACGUCCGAGAAUUAAUGAAGUCGGGGCACAAGUUGCGCUAAAGGUCAUAUUCCAGAAGCCCAUUACUUUCCCUUAUAAAGAUAGCAAAAGGGUACCGUGGAACUAUAGCUGCAAUGUGACGAUCCCAGGAGAGGAGAUCCCGAUUAAUGCAUCAGAGAAAGGUCAAGAUGAGGGUUUUUAUACGAGCAGUAGAAGGCGUUAUGAUACCCCAAAUACAAAAGUCGAGCAUGUUAAAGGAAAAUCAUUGGUAAUUGAACAAAAGAAAGAGAAGCCGGCGGGACUUGAACCGACUGUUAAUGAAUCAGUGACAGAAAAAGAAGUCAAUGAAUUCUUAAAAUUUCUAAAGCACAGUGAAUAUAGUGUCAUGGAACAAUUGCACAAACAGCCAGCUCGUAUAUCGAUACUGGCCUUACUCUUAAGUUCAGAAACCCAUCCCAGUGCAUUGAUGAAGGUGCUAAAUGAAACUUAUGUUGCUAACGAUAUUUCUGUAAACAAAUUGAACCUCUUAGUCAACAACAUAAGUGUCGACAACUUCAUAUUCUUCAAUGAUGAUGAAGUAUCGCCAGGAGGCAGAGAAUCAACUAAGUCUUUGCACAUCACGACUCGCUGUAAAUGGUAUACAUUACCGGAGGUAUUGAUUGACAAUGGAUCAGCCUUAAAUGUUCUACCGUUAUCUACGCUGAACAGACUGACUGUAGAUAGUUCUCACAUGAAGGUCUCCCAAAACAUAGUGAGGGCAUUCGAUGGAACAGAAAGGAAGGUAAUGGGCAGAAUCGAAAUACCCCUUCUAAUCGGGCCAAGCACGUACGAGGUAGAUUUCCUAGUCAUGGACAUUAAGCCUUCGUAUAAUUGCCUACUGGGGAGGCCAUGGAUACACUUAGUAGAGGCAGUCCCUUCAUCGCUACACCAAAAUUUAAAAUUGGUAACCGAAGGUCGGUUGGUAACGAUCAAUGCUGAAGAGUACAUCAUCGCUGCAGUAACCAGUGAUGCCCCAUAUCUAGAGGCAAAUGAUGAAACAAUCGAAUGCUUUUUUCAGUCUUUAGAGUUUGUGAAUGCGACAUUCAUUACCGAAGGAAAUAGGAUUCCAAUACCCAGGUUAUCUGAGACUACAAGAGUGAAACUACGGCUAAUUAUUGGGAAAGGGGCUCUACCCGGAAGAGGACUCGGGAGAUACCUCCACGAAAGGAUUAAUGCACCAAUGAUGAAGGACGAACAAGACCGUUUUGGGUUAGGAUUUAAGCCAGACACGAAACAAAAAAAGAAUGAACUGGAGAAGAAGCAAGAGAGAAGGAGAGCGCGAUUAAGCGGGGGUGAAAUCGAAUGGGAACCAAUGAUCUUUCCCCAUAUAUCGAAGACUUUUGUGUCUGGAGGAGUCAUUCACCCUGAGCGGAAGACGUCGGGAAAGAAAAUCGUGGAAAGAAUGUUGGAAAAUUUGGACAUCAACGCCACAUAAAAAGAAAGAACUGGAGUAGAGAAUUUGCCGGGCAUUCGCUUUUAUGAGCCGGGAAGUGUUCUAAAUAAUUGGACUGCUUAAGAGAUUCCUAUAGUCUUUAAAACUAACACAGAGUAAUGUUCAAAACACAUUUAUUGCUCUAGGCCUAGGAGUAAUAAGAGUCCCUUUUGUGAAAUAGGCUUAUGUUCAAAAUCAUUAUUUCAAUGAAAUGCAUCCUUUUGUCUUAUUCCAUGUAAAUAUUCUUUUAUUCUUUCAUUCAUGAUCAUACUAUACAUAUCAUUUUUUUUAGAUUCUCUUGUUCUUUGUAUUUUCCUUCGCACCUACAACAGGUCUCCAGAUAUCAACGAUAUGAGCGACGUUGCUACUAAAUCAGAGUCUCCUUUUGAGCGGGAUAUGUGUCUAGAGGGAUCUCAGGACUUUGAGGAUGACAGAGACUGUAACUUAUCCCCUGAUUUGUUAAGGAUGGUAGAACAAGAGGAGAAACAGAUUCUACCCUACAAAGAGACAGUAGAAGUCAUGAACUUGGGAGAUGAACUAGAAAAGAAAGAAGUAAAGAUCGAGGCUUGCAUUACCACAGAGACAAAACGGGACCUUAUUGAGUUAAUCCAAGAGUUCAACAAUGUCUUUGCAUGGUCAUAUCAAGAUAUGCCUGGGCUAAGUACUGAUAUCGUGGUACACCAGUUCCCCAUAAAAGAAGAGUGUAAGCCGGUUCAACAAAAGUUCUAAAGGAUGAGGCCCGAUGUUUUGUUAAAAAUAAAAGAGGAGGUCAGGAAGCAGCUCAAUGCUGGUUUCUUGCAAGUAGUUAAGUACUCAAAAUAGGUAGCCAAUAUCGUCCCUAUCCCUAAAAAAGAUGGAAAAGUACGGAUGUGUGUAGACUACAGGGAUUUGAAUAGAGCCAGCCCAAA